AUUAUUACAACUAUACAACACAUUCAAGGAACGAUACAGAGAAGAUUAGCAUGGCCCCUGCGCAAGGAUGACACGCAAAAAUCGUGAAGCGUUCCACAUUUUU